rnacentral:lncRNA from 1 species
AUCGCAGUGCUCACGGGAAGCACCACUGCCACCUCUCCAUCUCGAUCUCUCUGCUACCACCGGCCUCUACUUCACCAUGGCCGGCUCUGGAUCGAGCUCAUCCGCACCCAAGGAAGGUAGGUUACCAGAAAGAUCUAGCCUACACGAUCCAAGUGGGUCUAUCAAUGGUAUCAGAUGCCACUGGCUAGAUGAUUUCAGUAUAAAGAAACAAAAACAGAAAAAGAAAAAGAGAUCCCCUCCCCCCAAGAACCCUAGACAGGGCAAAGUAAACCACCGGAUAUUGGUCUAGGGCCUCACCGGCAAAGAGCGCCGCCGCACGACCGCGCCUGUUCCUCUCGAUCCCCACACGCAUCGGCAAGCCGAGGUGCGGGGACGAAGAACCACCGGAGCUAGCAAUUGCUCGCGGAAAAGAAAGGAAAAAGACACAAAAAAAAGAAGGGGGUUAGCACCGCGGCCAAAUCCCUUUUUUUUGUCUAUAGGUAAGCUAUAUGUUAUUCAAGGCAUCAAUAGAAAACCCCAUUUUUGUAGGUUCUACUUUCGUCUUUUUCUAUCUUCCCACUCAUCUCCACUAUACCCCUCGUCUUCUAAUUCCUUCCAUUCGACCAAAGAAUUCUCUAUAAUAAUUCGCAAAUCUCGGCGGCAGCGCGCUCACCGCUAGGGAGGACGCGCGACCGACGAGGAGGAUAGCCACGGCGCGAUCUGGGCGCGCUCUUCCUCUCGCUAAAAAGAAAAAGGGGUAGCCUCUCUGUCUUCCUCUCUCUCAUGGAAUGGAAGGGGACAAGGGAAGGUGGCUCUCGCGCGGUGCGGUGGCUGCACGCCGUCGCCGACGGAGCCCCAACCCGGCUACAGGGGAGCAGAGGAGGCCUCGCCGCGUCGCUCUCUCUCCCUCUCUCUCUCUAUCACACGAAGAAGAGGGUGAAGAGGGAAGAAAGGACGGGAAGGAGAGGACCCGCUCGGCACGGUGGCAUCCGCCGCCGUCGCCGGCGGCCGGGGCGAAGCCCGUCUCUCCGUCGUCGGCGGAGUGCGCGAGAGAGGCGCGGGGGCUGGGGAGAAAGUGGCGCUAGGUUUUCGGUCGCUGGGGAUCGACUCCUGGUUUUGUUCAAGCGAAAACCGCUCUGGACCGUACGAUGAAGAUCGACGACCAGGAAGCAAACCCUAGUCCCAGCCGGGCCGUUGGGCCGAAAGUGGCGCUGGGCCGAGGCCAGCAGCAGCGGGCGCAGCCGCACGAGCUGGGCCGAGGCCGGCUGCGCUGCUGUUUUUGCUUUUUUUCUUUUCGUUUUAAUAGUUUCUGUCCAGUUUUUGGGGCAGUUUUCUAAUAGAUUUUCUAUGCAAUUUUUUCAAACAAAAAUUUUUGUAUAGAAAAUAGAAAAGUAAACAGAAAAGUUCUGAAAAUGAAAAUAGAUAAUUUUUAGUAAAAGAAAUGUUCAUGAUUUUUUUAUAAAGAAAAUAAUAAAGUUCAUGAAUUUUGUAAGGAAAAGUUUCUGUAAAGAAUUAAAAGUUCAUGAAUAUUUUUCCGCUGCGUAAAUAAUUAAUGCUCUUUUACACAGAAAAUAAAAGUUUAUCUAUAGUAUUAAGUUUUUUAAGAGCAUGUUAAAGUGAUUAUUAAAAUGAAUAUGAUUAUGUUAUUUUUUAUGACCAACGUUGUUUAAUAACAUGAUCAUGUUUUAUUAUUGAAAUUUAAAGGUGCAUUUAUUUCUAGUAUUUUGCCCAACGGUAAUAUAGAUUUAAUUUCAUAGACAAUUAUAUGUUUAAUUUGACCAAUGUUAGAUUAAUGCAUAUGAUUGUUAUAUUGAUGUCACUUAAAUUGUGAUUUCAGGAGGCUUUCACUUGAUGAGUUGCCUAAAAGAAGUUCCGACACUUAGAGGUGACAACCACACUGAGUGGAGGAAGAAAGUUGAACUGGCAUUU